rnacentral:rRNA from 1 species
AAAAGAACUCUGAAGAGAGAGUUAAAUAGUACGUGAAACUGAAUAAGUGGAAGCGUAUAGAGUUGUCGAAAGAUGGUAAUAAUAAGUUGUGUAGUGCUGUAACGGUUUUAUGGAUGUUUCCGUAAGGUUCAUCUGUGAGAUGCAGUUUGGUACUGUGCAAUGCACUUGUUGCCAUUGUGCUGAUACAACUGAUCACUGGUUUCGAGAUAGUAAAAGAGGGCAUAUCUUCGGAUGUGUAUCCUACUACUAUGUAGAAAUUUUGUGGUUAGUUGUUGCUAAGGUUAUAUCGGACGGUACAAGUUGUGUGGUCCUUAAAAGUUAAUGCUUGCAUUGGCUUUUUUGGGUCAUGUUGUCUUGUGCUUUACGUAAGGCUUUAUAUCAGUAUAAAAGACAAUCACCUAUAUGUCCCGUCUUGAAACACGGACCAAGGAGUUUAUCGUAUAUGCGAGUCAUUGGGUGUUGAAAACUCAUUGGCGUAAUGAAAGUAAAGUAGCCUUUAUGGUUAUGAUAUGUGACUGUUGUCUUUUACGGACAACAGGUAGCAUAGUCCCAUCCAAUUUGCUUGCAAAUGGGUGGAGAUAGAGCAUAUGCGAUGAGACCCGAAAGAUGGUGAACUAUGCCUGAGCAGGAUGAAGUCAGAGGAAACUCUGAUGGAAGUCCGAAGCGGUUCUGACGUGCAAAUCGAUCGUCUGACUUGGGUAUAGGGGCRAAAGACUAAUCGAACCAUC